UCCUGCUCAAACCCACCAGAGCAUGCCUGGUCUUUUCUGAUCUCAUAAGCUAUAUCAGUUCAGACCUGGGUAGUACAUGGAAGGUGCAACUGUCUCAGAAUACCAGGUAGGGUAAGCU
rnacentral:rRNA from 1 species